rnacentral:rRNA from 1 species
UACGGAGGGUGCAAGCGUUAUCCGGAUUCACUGGGUUUAAAGGGUGCGUAGGUGGGCUGGCAAGUCAGUGGUGAAAUCUCCAGGCUUAACUUGGAAACUGCCAUUGAUACUAUCAGUCUUGAAUACCGUGGAGGUCAGCGGAAUAUGUCAUGUAGCGGUGAAAUGCUUAGAUAUGACAUAGAACACCAAUUGCGAAGGCAGCUGGCUACACGAAUAUUGACACUGAUGCACGAAAGCGUGGGGAUCAAACAGG